rnacentral:rRNA from 1 species
CAACUUUCAACAACGGAUCUCUUGGGUCUGGCAUCGAUGAAGAACGCAGCGAAAUGCGAUACGUAGUGUGAAUUGCAGAAUUCAGUGAAUCAUCGAAUCUUUGAACGCACAUUGCGCCCUUUGGUAUUCCAAAGGGCAUGCCUGUUCGAGCGUCAUUU